rnacentral:misc_RNA from 1 species
AAACUGUAACACCUACAAACUUGAAAUUUGGCAGGUAGGCUCCUUAUAGGACGUAGACAUCCGCUAAGAACGGAUUUUACGAAACUCGACCCCUAAAGGGGGUAAAACGGGGGUUGGUAGUUUGUAUGAAAGUCCUAUGUUUUUGAAGUAAGAGACUUGAAAUUUAAAAUUUAUGCUCUAUAGAUGGUGAGAAGGUGUUCAAAUAAUGUAUCUUUAGAAAUCAACU